UACGUAGGGGGCUAGCGUUGUCCGGAAUCAUUGGGCGUAAAGCGCGCGUAGGCGGCCCGGUAAGUCCGCUGUGAAAGUCAAAGGCUCAACCUUUGAAUGUCAGCGGAUACUGCCAGGCUAGAGUCCGGAAGAGGCGAGUGGAACUCCUGGUGUAGCGGUGGAAUGCGCAGAUAUCAGUUGGAACGCCAAUGGUGAAAGCAGCUUGCUGGGGGUUUGCUGACGCUGAGACACGAAAGCCAGGGGAGCGAACGGG
rnacentral:rRNA from 1 species